ensembl:lncRNA LINC00466 long intergenic non-protein coding RNA 466
AGAGCAGCGCGCGGGGCAGACCUCCUCGGGUCCUCCGGCGCUUCGGUCUCCGGAGACGCCCGGCCUCCUGAAGGGUUCGGCUUGUCCUCCUCUGGCGCUCAGCUCCCUCUGGCGGCCGGGCUGGCAGGACCUCAGCGCCCAGCCCUUCCGUCUUGUUACGUCCAGGGUCUCACUCUGUGUCUCAGGCUGGAGUACAGUGGUGCAAUUGUAGAUGGCUGCAGCCCUCGACCUCCUGGGCUCAAGUGAUCCUCCUGCCUUAGCCUCUCGAGUAGCUGGGAGUACAGAUGCACACCACCACACCCAGCCUAGAAUGAAGAAACCUGCAGUUGGGAAGCAUGAAUUUACCACCUAUUAAGAAGUAGUCAUCAGGCAUGACCUCCCAUGGGUGCUCACAGAAGAUGGUGCCGUGCAUGUGCAGAACUUCCCAGGCCAAGAUCCACCACAUUGGACCCACUGAGUGAGCCCCCUUGUCAUUGCAUGAGAUGGUGAUGAUCACAUAGCGUAGAGGAGAGUAUGUGUGACACAGAGCAAUGGUAGUCAGUUUAACAUACGAUAGCCCUGUGAAAGGUGUGUGGUCAGCCCUGGGAUCAGUAACCAUCAGAAGACAUGGCUCCCAGAAGGCUACCUGGAUCUGGUUAGCAAAGGAACCAGAAAUAAGAGUGGCUCCAGUGGCAGCAGCAAACUUCAGCAUAGCCUGCUGGCUGACAUUCCUGGAGGAUGUGACACUGACAGCAGCUGAGUUUCCAAAUGGCAACAAUGGCACAAGCUGCCAGCCAAAGCUUCUUGCAGGUCCUCUUCAGAUUUAUCAUGUAGAUGCCAUCACUUUUCCUUUUGUAGUGUAUCAUUUGGAAGUCAAGGUGGGUGCCACCUAAGUGGAUUCCUGCUGGAAGGAAUGUGAGGACAUUCUCCUCCUUCAUCUUCAGGGCAUAAAGGGCUCCAAACAUUGUGAAAGUUUCUCUUUAAAUUACGACAUGCUGUAUGGAUCUCUGACUGGGGAACAUGGACAAGUACACUCAAAGUUUGAUUGCUAGUAUAGCUCACUCUUCUGUGGCUAGAAGUCCUGAAGAAUAAAACGUUAAGCAAGUUAUUAUGCUGACUACAACACCCAGGCUUAGGAACUAGUGAGCAUAAGACCUCAAAUUUCUUUCUGGCUCUCAUUAUGAAAGUCAUGAUUGUUUCCCUUGCAUCAUCCUCUGCAUGUGGCUUUUCAUCUUACAUUCUGGCUUUGCUCCAGGAGACACACUGCCUUAUGCCAGGGACCUGGUGGAAAGGUCACCCCCAGAAUGGACAGGCUGGGAAGAGCUCACUUAACAGUGUAAGUCCUUAACUGCAUUUCUUCAAGCGCCAUCUUAAUGGCAUAUAAGCAAAAGUGAAAAAUUCCAAAGGGGACUAAAAUUUAGAUUUUGGCCUGAUAGUAUAACUAGAAGGUUUUUUUGCUUUGAAUUACCAUAAGUAGGAGUGAGUGAGUUUCUGUCAUUCCCCUACCGAAUAAAAUAUUGAAUUUAUGAUGAAUAGUUGUUAAAUAGAGUGAUCUGGACUUAUUCUUUCCAGCCUAGUGAGACCCAUCCCAACCUUUUACAGACAGUUUCUUUAAAUAUAGCAUGAGAAACCUCAGUGUCCUCUGGAGGGUUUUGUAAAUGGAUGCCAGCCCAGUCUUUAUUAAACUGGGCUUGUAUGUCAUAUAAUUGCCUGUCUUGACAUACCUCUUCCAGGCUUUGCUGGAAGGGUUUGUUAAGGAUUCUUUUCUGCUG